UUUGAAAGUCUAAUUUCUGCUGCAAUAUCUUUUUACAUGCAUUGACAAGCUGCAUCUUGCAAGUUCUUAUCUCUUUCAGUUUCACUUGUUUUUUACAAUCUUCUGCAGUGUGUUGGACUUCCCUUUGUACCAAGUUUUCUUGGGCAGUUGGAAACUAGUGAAGAUAUGAUCCACGGAGUGAAUUUUCUCCCUGCUUUUUUCAUUGGAUAUUUAGUUUUUAUUUUUCUAGUAUUUUUGCUGAUUCUUUAAACUCAUUGAACUAAAAUGGCCUUGAAAGCCUGCUCCUCAAAAAUGCAAAAAAUUGGAUUAACUAAGCUCUACACUAACAAUCCAUUAAUUCUUUGUUCAGGUGUGAAUGUAAAUCAUCUUCUCCUGCAUCCAAAUUGCCUAGUCCUUAAGUCAUAAUGUCCUCAAAUCUGCAAGUUCUUGAAGUUGGUAUAAUCUUGCACCUGAGGCAAGGACUUUCUUUAACUUGCAACUAGUAGCCAUUUGGCUGAUUAAUCAAUACAAAAUUUCAUAUGGUUUAUUCUUGUUAUAGUUGACUAUCAUAUGACUACUUAGAUGAAGGGGAAAGUUUAUUUGUAGUUAAAUAAUUUGUUUAUGGAGCACCUGUAAUUUUGUAUUGGAAUGAUAGAAAUGUAAUAUUAUUUGGUAUAAUUGAAUGUAAUUCAUUUACAACAAUAAUAUUUGUGCUUGUAAUUUU
rnacentral:misc_RNA from 1 species